GACGAACGCUGGCGGCGUGCUUAACACAUGCAAGUCGAACGGAAAGGCCCUGCUUUUGUGAGGUGCUCGAGUGGCGAACGGGUGAGUAACACGUGAGUAACCUGCCCUUGACUUUGGGAUAACUUCAGGAAACUGGGGCUAAUACCGGAUAGGAGCUCCUGCUGCAUGGUGGGGGUUGGAAAGUUUCGGCGGUUGGGGAUGGACUCGCGGCUUAUCAGCUUGUUGGUGGGGUAGUGGCUUACCAAGGCUUUGACGGGUAGCCGGCCUGAGAGGGUGACCGGCCACAUUGGGACUGAGAUACGGCCCAGACUCCUACGGGAGGCAGCAGUGGGGAAUAUUGCACAAUGGGCGGAAGCCUGAUGCAGCAACGCCGCGUGCGGGAUGGCGGCCUUCGGGUUGUAAACCGCUUUCGCCUGUGACGAAGCGUGAGUGACGGUAAUGGGUAAAGAAGCACCGGCUAACUACGUG
rnacentral:rRNA from 1 species